UUUCUGCAACUAGAUGGUCCCAUCUGGGGGUGAUGGGAGACAGUGACAGAUCAUCAGGCAUUAGAUUCUCAUAAGGAGUGUGCAACCUAGAUCCCUUGCAUACGCAGUUCACAAUUCUCCUAUGAGAAUCUAAUGCCGCCAUUAAUCUGACAGGAGGUGGAUCUCAGGCAGUAAUACAAGCAACGGGGAGUGGCUGUAAAUACAGCAGAAGCUUCGCUUGCCCCACUGCUCACCUCCUUUUUUGUGGCCCAGUUCCUAACAGGCCACAGAUCAGUGCCAGUUCAUAGCCCAGGGGUCACGGACCCCUGCUCUAGGUUGUGCGGCCCUGUUUUCUGAGUGUCCAGGAAAGGGGCUGGAGUUGGGGCGGAAGGAGUGGGGGAAGCUGGAAUCAUGGGCUGCACUGUUUUCAGCCUGGAGAAGAGGCUGUCCACAGAAGGGAAAAGGGAUUUCUCACCCUUGAAAAUAUCUCAGUUGCAGCCUGGAUGUCUAACACCCGGGAACAUCCCUGGCUGCUCUGACCUUAGAUCUGGAACUAAGGCUUCGUGCAAUGCCUCCCCAGCUUCCUUCCCCAGACCCAGCUCUUGCUGACAGCAACUAGAAACACAGCCCAAUUCCACAUUCAAGGAGCAUGGGAGCUAUGGGCCCACGUGCAUCAGGAUGGGUGAACAGAAGUGGGUGGGGCUGUGGAGAUGAGGUGGGAGAGGGGCGUGGGCAGAUCAUGGAAGGAACUGUCAGCCUGGGGAACAUGUGGAUUUUACAAACAGCAGGCAGUGGAGAGCCCUUGACAGGUAGAGGGGAAGCUCAAACUGGGUGGAGCCCACCACAACUCAAGGAGGCCUGCCUGCCUCUAUAGGCUCCACCUCUGGGAGCAGGGCACAGACAAACAAAAAGACAGCAAUAACCUCUGCAGACUUAAAUGUCCCUGUCUGACAGCUUUGAAGAGAGUAGUGGUUCUCCCAGCACGCAGCUGGAGAUCUGAGAAUGGGUAGACUGCCUCCUCAAGUGGGUCCUUGACCCCUGAGCAGCCUAACUGGGAGGCACCGCCCAGUAGGGGCAGACUGACACCUCACACGGCCGGGUACUCCUCUGAGACAAAACUUCCAGAGGAACCAUCAGGCAGCAGCAUUUGCGGUUCACCAAGAUCCGCUGUUAUACAGCGACCACUGUUCUGCAGCCACCGCUGCUGAUACCCAGGCAAACAGGGUCUAGAGUGGACCUCUAGCAAACUCUGGGAAAACUGGCUAACCAUAUGUAGAAAGCUGAAACUGGAUCCCUUCCUCACACCUUAUACAAAAAUCAAUUCAAGAUGGAUUAAAGACUUAAACGUUAGACCUAAAACCAUAAAAACCCUAGAAGAAAACCUAGGCAAUACCAUUCAGGACAUAGGCAUGGGCAAGGACUUCAUGGCUAAAACACCAAAAGCGAUGGCAACAAAAGACAAAAUUGACAAAUGGGAUCUAAUUAAACUAAAGAGCUUCUGCACAGCAAAAGAAACUACCAUCAGAGUGAACAGGCAACCUACAAAAUGGGAGAAAAUUUUUGCAACUCAAAACCACAAUGAGAUACCAUCUCACACCAGUUAGAAUGGCGAUCAUUAAAAAGUCAGGAAACAACAGGUGCUGGAGAGGAUGUGGAGAAAUAGGAACACUUUUACACUGUUGGUGGGACUGUAAACUAGUUCAACCAUUGUGGAAGUCAGUGUGGCGAUUCCUCAGGGAUCUAGAACUAGAAAUACCAUUUGACUCAGCCAUCUCAUUACUGGGUAUAGACCCGAAGGAUUACAAAUCAUGCUGCUAUAAAGACACAUGCACACAUAUGUUUACUGCAGCACUAUUCACAAUAGCAAAGACUUAGAACCAACCCAAAUGUCCAACAACGAUAGACUGGAUUAAGAAAAUAUGGCACAUAUACACCAUGGAAUACUAUGCAGCCAUAAAAAAUGAAGAGUUCAUGUCCUUUGUAGGGACAUGGAUGAAACUGGAAACCAUCAUUCUCAGCAAACUAUUGCAAGCACAAAAAACCAAACACCACAUGUUCUCACUUAUAGGUG
rnacentral:lncRNA from 1 species